rnacentral:piRNA from 1 species
UCAAAAGAUUUCAAUGAAAACAGUGUGUUC